rnacentral:rRNA from 1 species
GUCACACCAUGGGAGUGGGUUGCAAAAGAAGUAGGUAGCUUAACCUUCGGGAGGGCGCUUACCACUUUGUGAUUCAUGACUGGGGUGAAGUCGUAACAAGGUAACCGUAGGGGAACCUGCGGUUGGAACACCUCCUUA